rnacentral:lncRNA from 1 species
AGACAUCCAAUUCCCCCCAGAUCAAUGUCGAUCACACAAAUAAUGAUCUAGAGAGCCCAAAACUUUCCAAGUGUAUUCUUCAUCACUCUUAAACAUUGCUCCCAAGCUUCAUCUAAAUCCGUCAAAUCUUCGAUCAAGUUAACAUUCGAAGGAACAUUCAUUAGAACACAAUCGAUAUAAUCUUAUAAAAUUUCAUACCCUAAAAGUUAGACAAAUAAAUAUUUAAUUAAAAUUGAACUGAGACAAACAUAGAAAAAAUCGUCGGAUGGUUCCGAAUCAACAGCAAAUAGUUGUAUAUAUAUAUAAAUAUAUAUAUAUGUAUAUAUAUAUAUAUGUAUAUAUAUAUAUAUGUAUAUAUAUAUAUAUGUAUAUAUAUAUAUAUAUAUAUAUAUAUAUAUAUAUAUAUAUAUAUAUGUAUAUAUAUAAUACCGCUCUAACUUGAUGUUAAACCAUCGGCUAAGGAAGCCAAAACGGGCCUCCGCGAUGCUAAUGAUGGAAGCAUAACAUAUCCAAGGUCAAGCGGGAAGCAAGGGUAACACGUGAACCGUAGCCGCCCCUGCAUACCUAACCCUGUCUUUUAGUUGAUCGCAUCAUUUUGCGGGACCCAUUAGUACAAAAAUAAGAUGAUGGCCUGCACGAUAAUUGGGUAAGGCUGACACGAAAGUCCAGCUUCUUAAAUUGACAUGGACGGAUUCAACAUAAAGAUAGCUGACGCCUUCACGUCUUCAAAAUUAUUCAUUAAUGAGAAUCAUCUAAGAAAUGAGAGAACAUGGUUUUGAUAUGGUCAUCAAGAGUGGGUGAAAGAUUGAUGAAGAAAAAGGUCCAAAUCGCCUAAACUCAUAUAAAGCUAUCAGUAGAAGAACACCUUUUCAUGCAAUUAUGUCUUUGAUGCCAUAGUUUGAGAAGACGACGACUUCUACACCAUCAACAAUGAUACUGGCGGGCAAAAUGUCUCCGACCAUAACCUUACUUUUAUUCGAUUUAAUUUUUAAUUUUUAAUUUUUUUUUUAUAUUUACAUUUUGGACUAUACCCUUUUUAUGGUAACCUCUGAGGUAUUUCUAGGCUCUAUAAAUAAGAGUCCUAAAUCCCUGAUCAAUUAAGAAUCAAGAUAUCAUUAUAAUUUGUCCACUUGUUUAUAUAUGUGUCUAUCAUUUGGCUGUAAUCACACUCAUAAGAGAGAGAAUACCAAUUGAAUCUUGAACUAAAAAUCUCCAUUAAUCUUGCACAUAAAGAUGAGAUUUUACCAUAAAAUAAUUAUUAUAUUUUAAAUUUUUAUCUUUAUAUUUCGUUAUUUAAAUAUUUUUAUUAAUUUUUAAUCAAAAUCCGAAUUUUUUUUUUACCCCGACAACAUUGGAGAGAACGUCAAACUAAGUCAUUAUCAAAUUACUAGAGAACCGACAUCUCAAUAAAAUCAUGUCUAUCAUAUUUUCACUUGAAUACCACACUUGAAUAUGGUAUCUCCAAUACUUUUACCAUAUGUGACUAAUAUGAUAAUUCUCCUCAAACAUUAUCGAUUAUAUCAUAUCUAUCGUAUGUUUUCCAAAUUCAAUAUAAUAUAAUUAUACUUAGAUUAAGAAAUAUAUAAAACUAUUAUCGACAUCAAUGCACAUUUGUGCAUGCAAUAAUCUUAAAACCUCAUCGUAAAAACUCCCCUUAAGACAUCAACAAAAAAAAAUAAACAUGUAAUAAAAGCCAUCAUCCAAUUAGAACAAUCAAAUUUCUAACUUAACAUCAUCUUAUGCCUUUUAUUAUCUUCAUCGAUUCAAUGGCCAACUGAUUUAAUAUUAAACAGUAUUAUAUCUAUAAAUUUGAAUUUUACAAGAAUAUAUAUACAUAUAAAUACCAAUUUGCGGUGGUAAAUACUAAUUUUUAAUGUCGUCUGUUGUAGCCGCGAGUGCAUUCGUUGAGAGGACAUGUGGCGAUUCCGUUUCAUGCGGGCACAGCUGGGAACGAAUCUCGCUAACGUGCUGCAAACAGAUUGGAACGAAUAACACCGACAGUUUCGACUCCCUCCUCUCGUCCUUAUCCCCCUCCUCUCUCUCUCUCUCUCUCUCUCUCUCUAUCUCUCGUCUCCGCAGCCCCUAGCGUUUACUUUGGGGGUACGCUCAUCCUCCAUCCAUCCCACCAGAAGAUCGGUUGGUACGGGCUCCCCAAUCAUGCCGUCCGGCAACUCGCACUCUUCCUCCUCCCAACCCAAGCGGGAAUUGCCUGCUCUGCUCCACGCCGCCCGCCCGUUCCUGCGCGGCGAGCUCGAGCGCGUCGACCCUUCCCUCCCCUCCCUCCUCGCAGUCCUCCGCUCUGUCGGCGCCGGUGAGUGCUGGCACAAGCACAGCACCUUCCUUGCUCACCUUUCCGACGUCUACCGUGCUCUCAAGCUCUGGUGCGUCCCCGACGCCGUCGCCCGCUGCGGCCUCUUCCACUCCGCUUACUCCAAUUCCUACGUCAACCUCGCCAUCUUCGACCCCGGCACCGGCCGCGACCGCGUCCGCGACCUCGUCGGCAUCCCCGCCGAACGCCUCAUCCACCUCUUCUGCAUCGUUCCACGCCAGCCGCUCAUCCACGACGACCUCCUCUUCCACUACUCCGACGCCGAUCUCGCCAACCACCUCGCGCUCUCCGAGGACUCCCUCCGCCAGGCCAGGGAGGGCGGCGCCUCCGACCCCACCGAACCGUGGCGGGCAAAGCUCCGCACGCUUCUCCCGCCAGAAGGGAUAAAGGUCAGGCACAUAAGGACCGGGGAGGACGUGCCGCUGUCGCGAAGGCUGGUGGCCACUUUCCUCCUGAUGACCAUGGCCGACUUCGCCGACCAGCUAUUCGACUUCCAAGACAAGCUCUUCGACAACGACGACGGCCGGCUGACCUUCCACGGGAACAGCUGGUCGACGCUGUGGCCGGGCCAAGGGAAGCCAGGCCUGUGGCUCAACUCCAUCUCCAAGAUGGGCGCCUUGUAUUCGCUCAUAGCCAGAGAGGAGGAGAUCUACAUGGAGGAGAGGAAAAGAGCAGGGCAAGGCGGAGAAGCUCUGUGUAGCAGCGAAAGGGACGAAGAGAUUGAGCUGGUCAUCCCGCCGGUGUUCGACAACUGCACCAAGCUUCUGGCCGCAAAGGAGCAGAUUCUGGCAAGGGACUUGUACUGGGAAGCUGUGUGUUCUGGCGGAGAGGAGGAGCAGGGGUGGGAGAGGGUGAAGAAGCUACUAAUUGAAAGCUGUGAGAAGAACCCAUUCGUGGGGGAGCCUCACCUGGUGCUGGGGCAGGUGUAUCUGAACCUGGGCAAGUAUGAGGAGGCCGAGUGGGAGGCGGAGAAGGGGCUGAAGCUGAUACUGGAGUGGGGGAGCAGCUGGGACAAGAGGAUGUCUUGGGAGGGGUGGGUGGCUUGGGGGAGAGUGCUGCUGACAAAGGCAGAGGAGAGGUCAUGGCCCCAGACUUCAUGGGGGAUCCUCAAUCUGGGUCUCGUCAAAUGAAACAAAGGUACUGUUGUUGGCUUCUAUCAACAGAAGAAUAAAUGUUGGAUAUUAACAACACAAAGUUACUGCAAGCCUAAUCAGCAUGCAUCGUAUUUAUUUUACCAUAAUGACAAAGUUUUAUGGCUGUUGUUAAACUGAUGAAGGAAGGUUCCAUCUGGUUAAUGUAUUGAUUCUGAUGACAAAAUCAUAUACCAAUCGGAGAAAUGAUGCACAAAUAAUUUACUGGAUCGAAAUCUUUGGAAGUUUAUGAAUGCUUGGAUGCAACUGGACAAUAAAUAGACAAGACUCCUCCUCCUAAGGAAAGAGGGAAAACAGCGGGCCUUGAAGUCAUGUCAAUAGACGACGGUUCCCAAAAAUAUGUGGUAAAGAAAUCAAAGAUAUAUUUGUAGAACAAUCUAAUUAUCGUGUUGAAUUCAAUUACGUGCUUUCCAUAAAAAGUACCACAAAAGACCCAGUUCUACAUACCCAGGCACUGAUUGCGGGAAACGUUGGACUUCAAGAGGACAUAUGAAUGGUGAAAUAUGACAAGGAUUUCAUCUUUCGUCUUCCGAUCAAGUGCUCGAAACAAAUUUUAACCGAAGCGAUUAUAAUCAGCCGAUCUAUGUAAGAUAAUAAGAAAACCCUAAAAUGAAGAGAAUAAAAGAAACAUCCUGAACCUUACCUUCAAGCACAACAAGAUGCAGCAUAUCGGUCAUCAACUACGAACUAGCAGCCGGAAAUUUUCAUCGCAAGAUUUAGGGCUAAUCUGGGGUUGUGACUGCGGGAAUCAAUAUGCCUUGGUUGGUUCUUGAAGGCAUUCAUUCGCCUACGAUCAAUGUCAUGAGAUCGCUACCAUAUGUAAUCGAGAUGCAGGAAUACAACUAUCAAGAAAGAAGAGUUUGAUCAAAGGAAGAGGAGGAGGGUCUACAAUAACACUUACAUGCUCCGGAUGUCUCCUCGUCGAGUUUGGGAUGCUUGUUCGUCGAUUUGGUGUUUCAUCGACGGGAAGAAAAGACCGACCCCUUUGAGAGCAUGCGCUUCACGGCCUUCAUCAAACCAUGCUAAGGUAUCUG